rnacentral:rRNA from 1 species
UACGGGGGGGGCAAGCGUUGUUCGGAAUUACUGGGCGUAAAGGGUUCGUAGGUGGCUUGUUAAGUCAGACGUGAAAUCCCUCGGCUCAACCGGGGAACUGCGUCUGAGACUGAUGAGCUCGAGUGCAGGAGAGGAACGCGGAAUUCCAGGUGUAGCGGUGAAAUGCGUAGAUAUCAGGAGGAACACCGGUGGCGAAGGCGGUUCUCUGGGCAUGUUCUGACGCUGAGGAGCGAAAGUGUGGGGAGCGAACAGG